rnacentral:tRNA from 1 species
UCCCUGUUAGUAUAGUGGUUAUUACACUUGUCUUGUAAACAAGAAACGUCAGUUCGAUUCUGACACGGGGAU